rnacentral:rRNA from 1 species
CACGUAGGGGGCGAGCGUUGUCCGGAUUUAUUGGGCGUAAAGAGCUCGUAGGCGGUUUCGUAAGUCGGAUGUGAAAACUCCAGGCUCAACUUGGAGACGCCAUUCGAUACUGCGAUGACUUGAGUCCGGUAGGGGAGUGUGGAAUUCCUGGUGUAGCGGUGAAAUGCGCAGAUAUCAGGAAGAACACCAUGGCGAAGGCAGCUCUCUGGGACGGUACUGACGCUGAGACGCGAAAGCGUGGGGAGCGAACAGG